rnacentral:piRNA from 1 species
UGAAAAUUGAAUAUUUCGAGC